rfam:Otolemur garnettii contig123913, whole genome shotgun sequence.
AGCUUUGCACAGCAGCAGUCUCCUGGCCAAUGAGGUUUGUCCAAGGAGCGUUUAUUGCUAAUUGAAAACUUUUCCCAAUACCCUGUCCUGCAGCAUAGUCAGCAUUAGCGAUUUCUGAUAGCGUCUAUGGAGACA